rnacentral:rRNA from 1 species
UGGUGGAGUGAUUUGUCUGGUUAAUUCCGUUAACGAACGAGACCCCCGCCUGCUAAAUAGAUGGCGUUACGCUUUUGCGUAGCGGCUGUCUUCUUAGAGGGACUUUUGGUUGACUAACCAAAGGAAGUUGGGGGCGAAUAACA